rnacentral:lncRNA from 1 species
GUGAAAUGCAAGCUGAAAACACAAAAGGCAGGGAGACGAGGCAGUUCUGAAACUAGGUUAGAGAUUAAACGAGCCUGAUAUUUGGCAGUUGUAGGCAAGGUUGGAUUACCCUGGGGAAAGGGCUUGAAAUGAUUAAUGGAAUGGUGUUAUUAGCCUAUCAUGGGAUUGCAUUACUGCUUGAAUUCUUAAGACAGAAAUUGAGAGGAGCUGUGUGGGUGUGAAUGAUGUGCUGUGGAAGAGAGAGCACAAGAGCAGUGCUUCCCAAAAGAAGCCAGCUCUGCAAUCUGAGAGCUUCGGGCUGAACAGAUCUGCAAGCUGACCCAGAGCAGAGCAAGAAGAAAGUGCUGAAUGGAGUGAGAACUGCUGCAUUCAGAAUUUCCAAGAUAUUUCAAUAGUGAAUUGAAAUAUUUCCCAGGGACAGGGAAAAAAAUCAAACUGGAGUUGUUCCUCCCAACUUUGACGUGGCACUCAGACAUUGCGUCUGUCCUAGAGGAUUUUCCUGUUCGUCUCACCAGUUCCUCACCUUUCCCAAAGAGGUCUUCUGCCCCAGAAGAAAGAGAAAAGGGCUCUUCUACAUCUUGCUGCUUCCUCUUGCUUUUGCCAUGGUUACUUUCCUCUUGGCAUCCUCUGAGUGUCCAAGAGGAGCAGCUAUGAAUGGAGUGAAGGGAGAGGAAAGCAAAGCUUGGCUCUGCGUGGCAGCUGUGGACACUUCAGAGCCACCAUCACUCGCAUGGAUCUGAAAGGAAAGCUCUCAACGUGCUCUGCUCUCAGAGAUGUUCACAAAGGAGCAGGUGAAAUAGUUUGGCACGUGGUUGCAUUGGCUUUUGAAGCCUUGGGCUUUGCUGGAGAACUCCCAGUGGACUUUGUAGAGUGGUUUUGCAGAAUGGACAGUGGGCACAGGCUGGAGGCAAAGCAUUUUUAUUUCUCUUCUAUUUUUAACCAGGCUCUGAAGCCCCCUCCCGAGUACUCACACUGCUGCUUAGCGGGGUUUGUUUUGCCAGACUUUCACUGCUGCUAUUUUGGGGUGG